UUUUUAUGAGAGUUUGAUCCUGGCUCAGGACGAACGCUGGCGGCGUGCCUAAUACAUGCAAGUCGAACGCUUCUUUUUC
rnacentral:rRNA from 1 species